rnacentral:rRNA from 1 species
UACGUAGGGCGCAAGCGUUAUCCGGAAUUAUUGGGCGUAAAGAGCUCGUAGGCGGUUUGUCGCGUCUGCCGUGAAAGUCCGGGGCUCAACUCCGGAUCUGCGGUGGGUACGGGCAGACUAGAGUGAUGUAGGGGAGACUGGAAUUCCUGGUGUAGCGGUGAAAUGCGCAGAUAUCAGGAGGAACACCGAUGGCGAAGGCAGGUCUCUGGGCCGUGACUGACGCUGAGGAGCGAAAGCGUGGGGAGCAAACAGG